GUUAACCCGAGUACAGGAGCCGCGGUAAAACGUGGGGGGCGUGUGUUUUUCGGAAGUACUGGGCCGAAAGCGCGCGUAUGCGGUUGCUCAAUUCAGAGGUGAAAGCCCGGGGCUGAACCCCGGAACGGCCUUUGAAACUAGGUGACUAGAAUCUUGUAGAGGUCAGUGGAAGUCCGAGUGUAGAGGUGAAAUUCGUAGAUAUUCGGAAGAACACCAGUGGCGAAGGCGACUGACUGGACAAGUAUUGACGCUGAGGUGCGAAAGCGUGGGGAGCAAACAGGAUUAGAUACCCGAGUAGUC
rnacentral:rRNA from 1 species